rnacentral:rRNA from 1 species
CAGUCGAGCGAACAGAUAAGGAGCUUGCUCCUUUGACGUUAGCGGCGGACGGGUGAGUAACACGUGGGUAACCUACCUAUAAGACUGGAAUAACUCCGGGAAACCGGGGCUAAUGCCGGAUAACAUUUAGAACCGCAUGGUUCUAAAGUGAAAGAUGGUUUUGCUAUCACUUAUAGAUGGACCCGCGCCGUAUUAGCUAGUUGGUAAGGUAACGGCUUACCAAGGCAACGAUACGUAGCCGACCUGAGAGGGUGAUCGGCCACACUGGAACUGAGACACGGUUCCAGAAUUCUCUCACCGGGAGGGCAACACAGAUGUGGGAAUUCUUUCCGGCAAUAGGGCGAAAAGCCUGAACGGAGACAACCGCCCGGCGUGGAAGUAGAUGAAAGGUUUUUCUGGAUUCGUAAAACUUCUGUUAUUAGGGAAGAACACAAUGGUGUAAGUAGACUAUGCACGUCUUGACGGUACCUAAUCAGAAAGGCCACGGCUAACUACGUGCCAGCAGCCGCGGUGAUAACGUAGGUUGGCAAGCGUUAUCUCGGAAUUAUUGGGCGUAAAGCGCGCGUAGGCGGUUUCUUAAGUCUGAUGUGAAAGCCCACGGCUCAACCGUGGAGGGUCAUUGGAAACUGGGAAACUUGAGUGCAGAAGAGGAAAGUGGAAUUCCAUGUGUAGCGGUGAAAUGCGCAGAGAUAUGGAGGAACACCAGUGGCGAAGGCGACUUUCUGGUCUGUAACUGACGCUGAUGUGCGAAAGCGUGGGGAUCUAAACAGGAUUAGAUACCCUGGUAGUCCACGCCGUAAACGAUGAGUGCUAAGUGUUAGGGGGUUUCCGCCCCUUAGUGCUGCAGCUAACGCAUUAAGCACUCCGCCUGGGGAGUACGACCGCAAGGUUGAAACUCAAAGGAAUUGACGGGGACCCGCACAAGCGGUGGAGCAUGUGGUUUAAUUUGAAGCAACGCGAAGAACCUUACCAAAUCUUGACAUCCUUCUGACCACCUCUAGAGAUAGAGCCUUCCCCUUCGGGGGACAAAGUGACAGGUGGUGCAUGGGUUGUCGUCAGCUCGUGUCGUGAGAUGUUGGGGUAAGUCCCGCAACGAGCGCAACCCUUAAACUUAGUUGCCAGCAUUUAGUUGGGCACUCUAAGUUGACUGCCGGUGACAAACCGGAGGAAGGUGGGGAUGACGUCAAAUCAUCAUGCCCCUUAUGAUUUGGGCUACACACGUGCUACAAUGGACAAUACAAAGGGCAGAUAAACCGCGAGGUCAUGCAAAUCCCAUAAAGUUGUUCUCAGUUCGGAUUGUAGUCUGCAACUCGACUACAUGAAGCUGGAAUCGCUAGUAAUCGUAGAUCAGCACGCUACGGUGAAUACGUUCCCGGGUCUUGUACACACCGCCCGUCACACCACGAGAGUUUGUAACACCCGAAGCCGGUGGAGUAACCAUUUAUGGAGCU